GAAUUUUGGACAAUGGGCGCAAGCCUGAUCCAGCCAUGCCGCGUGAGUGAAGAAGGCCUUCGGGUUGUAAAGCUCUUUCGGCGGGGACGAAACGGUCCGUGCUAACACCACGGACUAAUGACGGUACUCGCAGAAGAAGCACCGGCCAACUACGUGCCAGCAGCCGCGGUAAUACGGAGGGUGCAAGCGUUAAUCGGAAUUACUGGGCGUAAAGCGCACGUAGGCGGUGUGUUAAGUUGGAUGUGAAAGCCCCGGGCUCAACCUGGGAAUUGCAUUCAAAACUGGCACGCUAGAGUAUGUGAGAGGGGGGUAGAAUUCCAAGUGUAGCGGUGAAAUGCGUAGAGAUUUGGAGGAAUACCAGUGGCGAAGGCGGCCCCCUGGCACAAUACUGACGCUCAGGUGCGAAAGCGUGGGGAGCAAACAGG
rnacentral:rRNA from 1 species